rnacentral:rRNA from 1 species
AACGCGAAGAACCUUACCCAGGUUAGAAGUGCAGUGGGAGAUAGCAGAGAUGGUAUCGUCCGCAAGGACCGCUGUAUAGGUGCUGCAUGGCUGUCGUCAGCUCGUGCCGUGAGGUGUUGGGUUAAGUCCCGCAACGAGCGCAACCCUUAUCAUUAGUUGCCAACACGAGAGGUGGGGACUCUAAUGAGACUGCCUGGGUUAACCAGGAGGAAGGUGAGGAUGACGUCAAGUCCGCAUGGCCUUUAUGUCUGGGGCUACACACGUGCUACAAUGGUCGGUACAGAAGGCAGCGAAGUUGAGAAAUGGAGCAAAUCCGUAAAGCCGAUCUCAGUUCAGAUUGUAGUCUGCAACUCGACUACAUGAAGUUGGAAUUGCUAGUAAUGACGUGUCAGCAACAACGUCGUGAAUACGUUCCCGGGCCUUGUACACACCGUACGUC